AUCACGGGUUUCCUGGGGCUGAAGCCCCAGGUGCAGUUCCUCAUUCUGCUCGCACUCGGGCCUCAGGCUCAGUGGAGGUCAGCACUGGGGUGUUGAUGGCAGCGCUGAGGGGCCCCCCACUGCCCCGUCAUGGCGUCUGCUCUCAUCGUCCUCUUCCUCGGCUGCUGGCUGGCUGGGCACAGCGGGGUGUGGGGAGAGCCCAGUUACCCCAAACCCAGCAUCUCCCUGAGCCCCAGUCAGGGGGUCUCCGUAGGGGGAGCCGUGGCUGUCUGGUGUCGGGGGAAGCGCCAGGGCAUGCAGUUCGUGCUGAAUAAAGAGGGACGCCAAUUCC